CUCCAAUUCUGCAGUUCCUUUCAAUUAAGUGCCAAAGUAACUUGCUUUUAUAUUGGUGGAAAAAUUAUUUCUUCAUCGACACGAUGUAUACACCAAGCGCACCUCCAGCCUAUGAAGAUGUUUUAAAUCAAAUGCCGAACGACACCUCACACAACUACCAAAUCGAUGUGCCAACUCAAACGCAACCCCAACUUUCAAUUCCCAUUCAAUCUCAACGUUUCAAUUCAUCGCCAAGUGCAGACAUUACAUCAAAUCGAAUUGCAAUUGUCAGCAGAACAAGUGGUGGUUUUCAAAGCAGACUCUGUACCGGAUGCCAUUUGCCAUUGCGAACCCGAAUUGGUUAUCGUGCAACGGGAAAAACACACUUGACUUUUUUGCUGUGCUGCAUCUUUUGUUGCUUUCUAUGCGCACCAUACGUUUAUUGCGUGGACUCAUGCCGUGAACCUCAAGUGUAUUGUCGAGCGUGUGGCAGUAUGGUGUUGCUGUGAUUUAUUUUUGGUUGAAAAGCUUGCGCAAAUUAUAACAAACAAAUUAAGGUUUGAAAUUAAAAAAAAAAAAUAGAUUCAGCAUAAGAUAAAAUGUUGGCAUAAGAAAUUUGUUCAUAAUGACGCUUGACUAAAUUAAAAUAAAGUACUGCGUGGUAAUCUUCAAAUCACACUUAAUGCUUUUAAAAUGGGGUAUUAACAUUUGAAACGUUCUUGUUGUUUUUGUGUAGGACUGACAUAUGUAUUGGAAUAUAAGGGAGAAGACGAUUAGUGCCUUAUUUAGAUUUCUUUCUAAAAAGUAUUUACAAGUAUUAUCACUUUACUUGAACAAAAAAAGAAGAAAAAAUGAUGUUGUGAACGCAAACGUGGGCGGUUAAAAACUAUUUUACAAUUGGUUGAAAAGAAUUCACUUGAUUUAAGAAAAAAAAAACAUUGAUUUCAAAAAAUAUUCAUUUUCACACUUUUGAAGUUCAAGACUGAUUUUUUUUUGUCCAAUCAGUGAAGGUUUCUCGUUAGCCAGCAUUGUCUUAGCCUUGGUUUACACCAACAACUGGUGUAUGCCAAUCGUUAGCCAGCUAUCUGUGUGACUACGUACGAUUCUCACUGACGUUUAUGAGUGACAUUCAACUCAGUGUAUAUAUGUAUGUAUUAGUGCUGGUUUACACAUUCGUUAGCCAGCUAAUGUGCCCAUCACUGCUUCCAAUACAAAUAACACAAUUUUAGUUAAAACCUAUUUCAGUAAAUUGCAUUUUCUGCAGUUUGGUGAAGCUACCAAAUAACAGUUUUACAAAGUAGGCAAUUUAAAUUCAACCAUCAAUUUCGUCAAUUGCUUAGUCGGAAUUUAUUUAUCGUAAAUUAAACGGUGGUCAAACGUCCGAAACAAUAAUUUGCUUUAGAAAUCCACAGGCUUAAUACACAUUUUUGAAAAAAUAUUGGAAGUUAAUCAUUCAUUUCUGCUGGAGUAUCAUUAAACAUUGUGAGUUUAGUGAUCAUGUAUGCUCCCAGUGCACCACCACCACCACCAUCACCAUCAUAUGAAGAGAUCCAAAAAACUCUACCGAUCAACGUUCUGUACAAUCAAGCACAGUCUCAAUCUCAGUUUCAGUCACAAAUUCAAAACCAACAACCGGUUUAUGUACAAUUUCUAGUGCCGACAGCAGUUCAAGUUCAGUCCGUACAUAAAACUUCGAGCCCAAUCGCAAAAGGAAAUAAUAUUAAUAAAAAUGUGCACAAAAAGCUAUGCACGAGUUGUCAAUCACCGCUAAUGACGCAAAUCGGUUAUCGAAGCACAUGAAAAACGCAUAUCGCAUUUCUCUGGUGUUGUCUUGUUAGUUUUUUUCUUUGUGCACCUUGUGUUUACUGCAUGAACUCGUGUCGCGAACCUAGAACCUAUUGUACCACUUGCGAGCAAAUGGUUUUGGCAUAAUAUCGUUCAAAACGAUUAAAAUAAUCCAAUAAACUUAAAAGCCCCGUCAAUUUCAAUCAAAUGUUAUUUUUAAUAAAAUUAUGUCAAUCGUA